GGUUUCCGUAGGUGAACCUGCGGAAGGAUCAUUAACGUUG
rnacentral:rRNA from 1 species